rnacentral:rRNA from 1 species
GACGAACGCUGGCGGCGUGCCUAAUACAUGCAAGUCGAGCGGAACACUUGGAGCUUGCUCCAAGCGCUCAGCGGCGGACGGGUGAGUAACACGUGGGCAACCUGCCCUGCAGAUCGGGAUAACUCCGGGAAACCGGUGCUAAUACCGAAUAGUUUGCGGCCUCUCCUGAGGCUGCACGGAAAGACGGUUUCGGCUGUCACUGCAGGAUGGGCCCGCGGCGCAUUAGCUAGUUGGUGGGGUAAUGGCCCACCAAGGCGACGAUGCGUAGCCGACCUGAGAGGGUGAUCGGCCACACUGGGACUGAGACACGGCCCAGACUCCUACGGGAGGCAGCAGUAGGGAAUCUUCCGCAAUGGACGAAAGUCUGACGGAGCAACGCCGCGUGAGUGACGAAGGUUUUCGGAUCGUAAAACUCUGUUGUGAGGGAAGAACAAGUGCCACGUAACUACUGGCACCUUGACGGUACCUCACCAG